UUGCCUAACUUUGCAAGUGAGAAUUAAAGGGAGGUUAUCAUUUUCUGAUCUGGGGCCCAUGCCAAAAUGUUUAAAGCAAGGGGCCAGAUCACUAGAAAUUGUUAGAUAAUCUACAGCAGAUAAUUUGUGAGCUGACCAAAAUAUAUAUUGCCUGAGGAAAUCAUUUGAGCCCUGCAGAGUCCAGAACAUAGUGAGAAUGUGGUCCAGGCAAAACAGAGGUCAAAUCCCAGGAAAGAAGCUGCCCCAAGGCAAAAAAAAAAAAACAGAAGCAAAUGAGACACACAAUAAAAGAGCAGCUUUUAACCUUUGAACAAA